GCGUCUUUAGCUCAACUGGAAGAGCGUCGGUCCUACAAACCGAAUGUCGGGGGUUCGAACCCCUCAAGACGCACCA
rnacentral:tRNA from 1 species